AUUGAACGCUGGCGGCAUGCCUUACACAUGCAAGUCGAACGGCAGCGCGGACUUCGGUCUGGCGGCGAGUGGCGAACGGGUGAGUAACAUAUCGGAACGUGCCAGGAAGUGGGGGAUAACUAGUCGAAAGAUUAGCUAAUACCGCAUACGCCCCGAGGGGGAAAGUGGGGGAUCGCAAGACCUCAUGCUUGCUGAGCGGCCGAUAUCUGAUUAGCUAGUUGGUGGGGUAAAGGCCCACCAAGGCGACGAUCAGUAGCUGGUCUGAGAGGACGACCAGCCACACUGGGACUGAGACACGGCCCAGACUCCUACGGGAGGCAGCAGUGGGGAAUUUUGGACAAUGGGGGCAACCCUGAUCCAGCAAUGCCGCGUGAGUGAAGAAGGCCUUCGGGUUGUAAAGCUCUUUUGUCCGGGAAGAAAUCCCACCUGCUAAUACCGGGUGGGGAUGACGGUACUGGAAGAAUAAGCACCGGCUAACUACGUGCCAGCCGCCGCCGUAACAC
rnacentral:rRNA from 1 species